AGGGUGACCGAAAAGGGGAUGCAGAGGAGGGCGUCGGAUGCCCUCUGAAGAAGCAUGAGAGCUUUAUAGUUUUCAAGAUGGUCGAGCAGAUCAGUGGAGCCGUCAUAUGGUUCCACCUGUGGCAUCUUGAACCGAUCUAAAAUUGGUUCAUCGAGAAUCCAUCGAGAGAAGGAUGGAUGGGUGCUAACAUCGAGCUCAUCGAUAGGAUCUCGAUUGUUCGCUUGAAGUCAAUUCAAGCGGUGAUCAAACUCUUUUAGUUUGAGGUCAUAUUCAUUCAACCACCGCUGAUAUUCAUCGAGAUGCUUGGAAUAUCCUAGGAUAGAACCUUCUCUAGAAGAAGAUAUUGAUGGAGAUCGCAGCCUCUUUUCCUUGUGUGAAGCUCAUCGAGGAGAAGGGGACCGGCGGUCACUGAAAGCGGCAUGUAGAGUGCACCGAGAGUCAACUUGUGGUGACCGUCGGAUGGGUUAAGAAGUCAUUUGGAGAGAGCAUCGAGACGAGUGGCGGGAUGGAGAAUGAGGUCGGAGACUCUAACUGAAGGGCACGUCCCGCGGCACCGAAUCCUCUGUCCGCCAUUGCUACUAUUGCUGCUGCUCUGUAGUCUAUUGGAGACUAUGGAUAGCCUUCGUCAAUGCUUUGACUUGCUAUACUAAGGC
rnacentral:lncRNA from 1 species